UCAAAUAUAUAUUCCUUCUUCCUUUGGGAAUAAUGUUUGAUAAUUUUCCUUUCAAUGAUCUACAAAUAUCACUUGCAACCCUUCUAGUUUUUUCUCUAUCAAUCAUUCUAUGGACAAGAAAUUGGAAAAGUACAAAACUACCCCCAGAAAUUCCGGGAUCAUGGCCAAUCAUAGGCCAUCUUCGUGGUUUUGGCGAUGGCGAAAACGUCCCUCUAGCCCGAACAUUUGGAAAAUUGUCUGAUCAGUACGGUCCGAUUUUCACUAUCAAGUUAGGUAUGUAUCGUUAUUGUGUUAUUAAUAAUUGGGAAGCAGCGAAAGAUUGCUUCACAAUUAAUGAUAAAGAACUCGCUGCUAGACCAAUUAGUCUAGCAGCUGAACAUUAUGGCUAUAAUUAUGCGAGAUUUCUUUCGCUAAUUAUGGUCCAUAUUAUUGUCAAGUACGAAAACUCGUGCUACAAAAUGUUCUUUCUAGCACUAGACUUGAAAAAGUCAAACAUGUUAGAAUUUCCGAGGUGGAAAUUAGCAUCAAAGAGUUGUAUAAUUUAUGUGGUAAGGGUGAUAAUUCAAACACGAUUAAUAUCAGUAAAUGGUUCGAGAAAUUAACUCUGAAUAUAAUCGUGAAGAUGAUUGCUGGUAAGAGGUAUAUAUCUUUAGAGAAAGACGAAGAGGCACAAUGUUUUAGAAAGGCCUUUGCUAAGAUUAUGUAUCUUGCUGGGGAAUUUAUUUUAUACGAUGCGAUUCCAUUCAAGAUUUUCAAAUAUGUGGAUUUUCAAGGGCAUAUUAAGACCAUGAAGCAAAUUUACAAGGACUUGGAUGAUAUUCUUCAAAGUUGGGUUAAUGAACAUAUGGAGAAAAAGAAAAUUGAAGGUGAUAAUAAUAAUGAACAAGAUUGUAUAGAUUCAAUGCUUUCAGUGACAAAACUUGAGGAUUUCAAAGCAUAUGGUUAUACAAGAGAUACAGUUAUCAAGGCUACAGUAUUGAGUAUGAUAUUAGAUGGUUCAGACACAACUGCUGUCCACCUAACAUGGCUCAUGUCUCUAUUAUUGAACAAUCCUCACGUCAUGAGUCAUGCCCAAGAAGAAAUAGACAACAAAGUUGGUAAAGAUAGAUGGGUAGAAGAAUCCGACAUCAAAGAUCUUGUCUAUCUCCAAGCUAUUGUUAAAGAAGCGUUACGCUUAUAUCCACCGGCACCUUUGUUAGUUCCACACGAAGCUGUGGAAGAUUGUACCGUGGCGGGGUACAACAUCCCAAAGGGUACUCGUUUGUUCCCGAACGCAUGGAAAAUACAACGAGACCCUCGAGUUUAUUCAGAACCUGAUAAAUUCAUGCCAGAGAGAUUCUUAAAUGAACAUUCGAAUGUGGAUGCUCGUGGUCAACAUUUUGAGUUCAUCCCGUUUGGUUCUGGAAGACGAUCUUGUCCCGGAAUUAAUUUCGCGACGCAAGUGGCGCACCUUACGAUUGGUCGAUUAAUUCAAGGAUUUAACUUUGGUCCACCAUCAAAGUUGCCUGUGGAUAUGACUGAAGGUCAAGGGAUUACUAUGCCUAAAGUAAAACCUGUGGAAGUUUUAAUCACCCCACGUUUGAGUUCUAUGCUUUAUGAACUUUAAUGUAAAAAUAAAAUCGAUUUUCGGAGAUUGAUUUUUUACGAUCCUUUUUUUUAGGUCGAUUUUCACUGUUUUUUUUUUAGUAGUGGCAUAAAAUUCCAGCUGAAUCUUUUGGCAAAUGCAACUAGAAAUCUAAGAGCCACUUUUUUCGAACUUUAGUACUAAUGUUUUAAGUAAUUAUUGUAAUAUAUAGUGUGUUUUUUUAAACAUUUUAUGUGAUUUAAUUAUCUUUUAAUUUUCCUA